rnacentral:rRNA from 1 species
UACGUAGGGGGCAAGCGUUGUCCGGAAUCAUUGGGCGUAAAGCGCGUGUAGGCGGCCAGAAAAGUCCGCUGUGAAAACUCGAGGCUCAACUUCGAGCUGUCGGUGGAAACCAUCUGGCUAGAGUCCGGAAGAGGAGAGUGGAAUUCCUGGUGUAGCGGUGAAAUGCGCAGAUAUCAGGAAGAACACCAAUGGCGAAGGCAGCUCUCUGGGACGGUACUGACGCUGAGACGCGAAAGCGUGGGGAGCGAACAGG